UUAUAUUUAAUUAAUAAUAUUAAAUUGCAAAUUUAAAGUAGAUAAAAUAAAAAUCUAAGGCUU
rnacentral:tRNA from 1 species